ACUCCUACGGGAGGCAGCAGUGGGAAGUAUUGCACAAUGGGGGAAACCCUGAUGCAGCCAUGCCGCGUGUGUGAAGAAGGCCUCGGGUUGUAAAGCACUUUCAGUAGGGAGGAAGGUAGUGUAGUUAACACCUGCAUUAUUUGACGUUACCUACAGAAGAAGCACCGGCUAACUCCGUGCCAGCAGCCGCGGUAAUACGGAGGGUGCGAGCGUUAAUCGGAAUUACUGGGCGUAAAGCGCGUGCAGGCGGCCUGUUAAGUCAGAUGUGAAAGCCCGGGGCUUAACCUCGGAAUUGCAUUUGAAACUGGCAGGCUAGAGUCUUGUAGAGGGGGGUAGAAUUUCAGGUGUAGCGGUGAAAUGCGUAGAGAUCUGAAGGAAUACCAGUGGCGAAGGCGGCCCCCUGGACAAAGACUGACGCUCAGAUGCGAAAGCGUGGGGAGCAAACAGGAUUAGAUACCCUGGUAGGAUA
rnacentral:rRNA from 1 species